rnacentral:rRNA from 1 species
GAUGAACGCUGGCGGCGUGCCUAAUACAUGCAAGUCGAGCGAACGGACGAGAAGCUUGCUUCUCUGAUGUUAGCGGCGGACGGGUGAGUAACACGUGGAUAACCUACCUAUAAGACUGGGAUAACUUCGGGAAACCGGAGCUAAUACCGGAUAAUAUUUUGAACCGCAUGGUUCAAAAGUGAAAGACGGUCUUGCUGUCACUUAUAGAUGGAUCCGCGCUGCAUUAGCUAGUUGGUAAGGUAACGGCUUACCAAGGCAACGAUGCAUAGCCGACCUGAGAGGGUGAUCCGCCACACUGGAACUGAGACACGGUCCAGACUCCUACGGGGGGCAGCAGUAGGGAAUCUUCCGCAAUGGGCGAAAGCCUGAAGGAGGAACGCCGCGUGGGUGAUGGAGGUCUUCGGAUCGUAAAACUUUGUUAUUAGGGAAGAAAAUAUGUGUAAGUAACUGGGCACAUCUUGACGGUACCUAAUCAGAAAGCCACGGCUAACUACGUG